rnacentral:rRNA from 1 species
GAUGAACGCUGGCGGCGUGCUUAACACAUGCAAGUCGAACGGAAAGGCCCAAGCUUGCUUGGGUACUCGAGUGGCGAACGGGUGAGUAACACGUGGGUGAUCUGCCCUGCACUUCGGGAUAAGCCUGGGAAACUGGGUCUAAUACCGGAUAGGACGAUGGUUUGGAUGCCAUUGUGGAAAGUUUUUUCGGUGUGGGAUGAGCUCGCGGCCUAUCAGCUUGUUGGUGGGGUAAUGGCCUACCAAGGCGUCGACGGGUAGCCGGCCUGAGAGGGUGUACGGCCACAGUGGGACUGAGAUACGGCCCAGACUCCUACGGGAGGCAGCAGUGGGGAAUAUUGCACAAUGGGCGCAAGCCUGAUGCAGCGACGCCGCGUGGGGGAUGACGGCCCUCGGGUUGUAAACUCCUUUCGCUAGGGACGAAGCGUUUUUGUGACGGUACCUGGAGAAGAAGCACCGGCUAACUACGUG